rnacentral:rRNA from 1 species
UACGUAGGGCGCAAGCGUUGUCCGGAAUUAUUGGGCGUAAAGAGCUCGUAGGCGGUUUGUCGCGUCUGUCGUGAAAGCUUGGGGCUUAACCCCAAGUCUGCGGUGGAUACGGGCAGACUAGAGGCAGGUAGGGGAGAACGGAAUUCCCGGUGUAGCGGUGAAAUGCGCAGAUAUCAGGAGGAACACCGGUGGCGAAGGCGGUUCUCUGGGCAUGACCUGACGCUGAGGAGCGAAAGCAUGGGGAGCGAACAGG